rnacentral:rRNA from 1 species
GCGUGACAUUAGGUAGUUGGGGGGGUAACGGCCCACCAAGCCGACGAUGUCUAGGGGUUCUGAGAGGAUGAUCCCCCACACUGGUACUGAGACACGGACCAGACUCCUACGGGAGGCAGCAGUGAGGAAUAUUGGUCAAUGGGCGCAAGCCUGAACCAGCCAUCCCGCGUGAAGGAUGAAGGCCCUAUGGGUCGUAAACUUCUUUUAUAUGCCAAGAAAGGUGCCCACGUGUGGGUAUUUGACGGUAGUAUAUGAAUAAGCAUCGGCUAACUCCGUGCCAGCAGCCGCGGUAAUACGGAGGAUGCGAGCGUUAUCCGGAUUCAUUGGGUUUAAAGGGUGCGUAGGCGGUUCUUUAAGUCAGUGGUGAAAUCCUGCGGCUCAACCGUAGAACAGCCAUUGAUACUGAAGGACUUGAAUAUAAUUGAGGUAAGCGGAAUGAGUAGUGUAGCGGUGAAAUGCUUAGAUAUUACUCAGAACACCAAUUGCGAAGGCAGCUUACCAAGCUAUAAUUGACGCUGAGGCACGAAAGCGUGGGGAUCGAACAGGAUUAGAUACCCUGGUAGUCCACGCCGUAAACGAUGUUCACUCGCUGUUUGCGAUAUACAGUAAGCGGCCAAGCGAAAGCAUUAA